GCACCAGUGGUCUAGUGGUAGAAUAGUACUCUGCCAUGGUACAUACCCGGGUUCAAUUCCUGGCUGGUGCA
rfam:Picea glauca, whole genome shotgun sequence.